rnacentral:misc_RNA from 1 species
GAUGAAGAACGCAGCGAAAUGCGUUAAGUAAUGUGAAUUGCAGAAUUCAGUGAAUCAUCGAAUCUUUGAACGCACAUUGCGCCCCCUGGUAUUCCGGGGGGCAUGCCUGUCCGAGCGUCAUUACAACCCUCAAGCUCAGCUUGGUGUUGGGCCCCGCCGCCCCGGCGGGCCCUAAAGUCAGUGGCGGUGCCGUCCGGCUCCGAGCGUAGUAAUUCUUCUCGCUCUGGAGGUCCGGUCGUGUGCUCGCCAGCAACCCCCAAUUUUUUUCAGGUUGACCUCGGAUCAGGUAGGGAUACCCGCUGAACUUAAGCAUAUCAAUAAGCGGAGGA